rnacentral:rRNA from 1 species
CCCCCCUUCAAGCUCGCUUGAAGGUUUUUCUUUGUACAAGAGAAAUCAAGACCGCAGGCGGUCUUGAUGGGGGGUGAGUGGCAGACGGGUGAGUAACGCGUGGGAACCUACCCAUUGGUGCGGAAUAACCCGGGGAAACCCGUGCUAAUACCGCAUACGCCCUGGUUUUAGGAUCGGGGGAAAGAUUCAUCGCCGAUGGAUGGGCCCGCGUCGGAUUAGCUUGUUGGUGUGGUAACGGCACACCAAGGCGACGAUCCGUAGCUGGUCUGAGAGGAUGAUCAGCCACACUGGGACUGAGACACGGCCCAGACUCCUACGGGAGGCAGCAGUGGGGAAUAUUGGACAAUGGGCGCAAGCCUGAUCCAGCCAUGCCGUGUGAGUGAAGAAGGCCUUAGGGUUGUAAAUCUCUUUCGGCGGGGAAGAUAAUGACGGUACCCGCAGAAGAAGCCCCGGCUAACUCCGUGCCAGCAGCCGCGGUAAUACGGAGGGGGCUAGCGUUGUUCGGAAUUACUGGGCGUAAAGGGCACGUAGGCUGGCUGUUAAGUCGGGGGUGAAAUCCUGAGGCUCAACCUCAGAAUUGCCUCCGAUACUGGCGGUCUUGAGUGCGGGAGAGGUGAGUGGAAUUCCCAGUGUAGAGGUGAAAUUCGUAGAUAUUGGGAAGAACACCAGUGGCGAAGGCGGCUCACUGGCCCGCAACUGACGCUGAGGUGCGAAAGCGUGGGGA